rnacentral:snRNA from 1 species
AUCGCUUUUCAGCCUUUUGGCUAAGAUCGAGUGUAGUGUCUGUUCUUAUCAGUUUAAUAUCUGAUAUGUCCUCUAUCCGAGGACAAUAUAUUAAAUGGAUUUUUGGAGCAGGGAGAUGGAAUGGGGCUUGCUCCGUCCACUCCACGCAGUGACCUGGUAUUGCAGUACUUCCAGAAAUGGCGCACCAAAA